rnacentral:rRNA from 1 species
AUUGAACGCUGGCGGCAGGCCUAACACAUGCAAGUCGAACGGUAGCACAGAGGAGCUUGCUCCUCGGGUGACGAGUGGCGGACGGGUGAGUAAUGUCUGGGGAUCUGCCCGAUAGAGGGGGAUAACCACUGGAAACGGUGGCUAAUACCGCAUAACGUCGCAAGACCAAAGAGGGGGACCUUCGGGCCUCUCACUAUCGGAUGAACCCAGAUGGGAUUAGCUAGUAGGCGGGGUAACGGCCCACCUAGGCGACGAUCCCUAGCUGGUCUGAGAGGAUGACCAGCCACACUGGAACUGAGACACGGUCCAGACUCCUACGGGAGGCAGCAGUGGGGAAUAUUGCACAAUGGGCGCAAGCCUGAUGCAGCCAUGCCGCGUGUAUGAAGAAGGCCUUCGGGUUGUAAAGUACUUUCAGCGGGGAGGAAGGCGAUGUGGUUAAUAACCGCAUGAUUGACGUUACCCGCAGAAGAAGCACCGGCUAACUCCGUGCCAGCCGUCGCGGUAA